UUUUGCUUCUUACUGGGCCCAGAGGAAGGACAUCAUGACAGACGAAGCUUAAGUAUCUUCUCUCUGGAUUGCCUUUGCUCAGUAUAGCUUCAAGAUGAAGAACACAAAGAGCACAGAUUGACAGCUGACUGCACAAUCCUGUAUAUAUAGCAUUAAGAUUAAUUCCUGAGUACGGCUAUUCAGAUUUUUGUUCUUUCAAUAGAAAAACAACAGCGACUCUAGUGCAGCGCAACAUUCUGCAGACCUGUGGAUGAACAGACAGCAUUAAGAUAAAUAAAUAAACGCUGUAGAAGAAAGAAAUGACGGGGGUGAUGUCAGGAAGGAUAUAUUGAGACCGCAUAGAGGGAGCUGAAAUAUUUAAACAAAUGUGCGCAUAUUUACGGAAAUUUGCGAAAAUACGUUACACAAGAGAGGGAGAAAUAUACAACGACCAUUGUG